rnacentral:tRNA from 1 species
GAGAAUAGCUCAACUGGUAGAGCAACGGUCUCCAAAACCGUAGGUUGGGGGUUCGAGUCCCUCUUCUCC